GGUUAAGCGACUAAGCGUACACGGUGGAUGCCCUGGCAGUCAGAGGCGAUGAAGGACGUGCUAAUCUGCGAUAAGCGUCGGUAAGGUGAUAUGAACCGUUAUAACCGGCGAUUUCCGAAUGGGGAAACCCAGUGUGUUUCGACACACUAUCAUUAGCUGAAUCCAUAGGUUAAUGAGGCGAACCGGGGGAACUGAAACAUCUAAGUACCCCGAGGAAAAGAAAUCAACCGAGAUUCCCCCAGUAGCGGCGAGCGAACGGGGAGCAGCCCAGAGCCUGAAUCAGUGUGUGUGUUAGUGGAAGCGUCUGGAAAGGCGCGCGAUACAGGGUGACAGCCCCGUACACAAAAAUGCACAUGCUGUGAGCUCGAUGAGUAGGGCGGGACACGUGGUAUCCUGUCUGAAUAUGGGGGGACCAUCCUCCAAGGCUAAAUACUCCUGACUGACCGAUAGUGAACCAGUACCGUGAGGGAAAGGCGAAAAGAACCCCGGCGAGGGGAGUGAAAAAGAACCUGAAACCGUGUACGUACAAGCAGUGGGAGCACAGAGCAAUCUGUGUGACUGCGUACCUUUUGUAUAAUGGGUCAGCGACUUAUAUUCUGUAGCAAGGUUAACCGAAUAGGGGAGCCGAAGGGAAACCGAGUCUUAACUGGGCGUUAAGUUGCAGGGUAUAGACCCGAAACCCGGUGAUCUAGCCAUGGGCAGGUUGAAGGUUGGGUAACACUAACUGGAGGACCGAACCGACUAAUGUUGAAAAAUUAGCGGAUGACUUGUGGCUGGGGGUGAAAGGCCAAUCAAACCGGGAGAUAGCUGGUUCUCCCCGAAAGCUAUUUAGGUAGCGCCUCGUGAAUUCAUCUCCGGGGGUAGAGCACUGUUUCGGCAAGGGGGUCAUCCCGACUUACCAACCCGAUGCAAACUGCGAAUACCGGAGAAUGUUAUCACGGGAGACACACGGCGGGUGCUAACGUCCGUCGUGAAGAGGGAAACAACCCAGACCGCCAGCUAAGGUCCCAAAGUCAUGGUUAAGUGGGAAACGAUGUGGGAAGGCCCAGACAGCCAGGAUGUUGGCUUAGAAGCAGCCAUCAUUUAAAGAAAGCGUAAUAGCUCACUGGUCGAGUCGGCCUGCGCGGAAGAUGUAACGGGGCUAAACCAUGCACCGAAGCUGCGGCAGCGACGCUUAUGCGUUGUUGGGUAGGGGAGCGUUCUGUAAGCCUGUGAAGGUGUGCUGUGAGGCAUGCUGGAGGUAUCAGAAGUGCGAAUGCUGACAUAAGUAACGAUAAAGCGGGUGAAAAGCCCGCUCGCCGGAAGACCAAGGGUUCCUGUCCAACGUUAAUCGGGGCAGGGUGAGUCGACCCCUAAGGCGAGGCCGAAAGGCGUAGUCGAUGGGAAACAGGUUAAUAUUCCUGUACUUGGUGUUACUGCGAAGGGGGGACGGAGAAGGCUAUGUUGGCCGGGCGACGGUUGUCCCGGUUUAAGCGUGUAGGCUGGUUUUCCAGGCAAAUCCGGAAAAUCAAGGCUGAGGCGUGAUGACGAGGCACUACGGUGCUGAAGCAACAAAUGCCCUGCUUCCAGGAAAAGCCUCUAAGCAUCAGGUAACAUCAAAUCGUACCCCAAACCGACACAGGUGGUCAGGUAGAGAAUACCAAGGCGCUUGAGAGAACUCGGGUGAAGGAACUAGGCAAAAUGGUGCCGUAACUUCGGGAGAAGGCACGCUGAUAUGUAGGUGAAGUCCCUCGCGGAUGGAGCUGAAAUCAGUCGAAGAUACCAGCUGGCUGCAACUGUUUAUUAAAAACACAGCACUGUGCAAACACGAAAGUGGACGUAUACGGUGUGACGCCUGCCCGGUGCCGGAAGGUUAAUUGAUGGGGUUAGCGGUAACGCGAAGCUCUUGAUCGAAGCCCCGGUAAACGGCGGCCGUAACUAUAACGGUCCUAAGGUAGCGAAAUUCCUUGUCGGGUAAGUUCCGACCUGCACGAAUGGCGUAAUGAUGGCCAGGCUGUCUCCACCCGAGACUCAGUGAAAUUGAACUCGCUGUGAAGAUGCAGUGUACCCGCGGCAAGACGGAAAGACCCCGUGAACCUUUACUAUAGCUUGACACUGAACAUUGAGCCUUGAUGUGUAGGAUAGGUGGGAGGCUUAGAAGUGUGGACGCCAGUCUGCAUGGAGCCGACCUUGAAAUACCACCCUUUAAUGUUUGAUGUUCUAACGUUGACCCGUAAUCCGGGUUGCGGACAGUGUCUGGUGGGUAGUUUGACUGGGGCGGUCUCCUCCUAAAGAGUAACGGAGGAGCACGAAGGUUGGCUAAUCCUGGUCGGACAUCAGGAGGUUAGUGCAAUGGCAUAAGCCAGCUUGACUGCGAGCGUGACGGCGCGAGCAGGUGCGAAAGCAGGUCAUAGUGAUCCGGUGGUUCUGAAUGGAAGGGCCAUCGCUCAACGGAUAAAAGGUACUCCGGGGAUAACAGGCUGAUACCGCCCAAGAGUUCAUAUCGACGGCGGUGUUUGGCACCUCGAUGUCGGCUCAUCACAUCCUGGGGCUGAAGUAGGUCCCAAGGGUAUGGCUGUUCGCCAUUUAAAGUGGUACGCGAGCUGGGUUUAGAACGUCGUGAGACAGUUCGGUCCCUAUCUGCCGUGGGCGCUGGAGAACUGAGGGGGGCUGCUCCUAGUACGAGAGGACCGGAGUGGACGCAUCACUGGUGUUCGGGUUGUCAUGCCAAUGGCACUGCCCGGUAGCUAAAUGCGGAAGAGAUAAGUGCUGAAAGCAUCUAAGCACGAAACUUGCCCCGAGAUGAGUUCUCCCUGACUCCUUGAGAGUCCUGAAGGAACGUUGAAGACGACGACGUUGAUAGGCCGGGUGUGUAAGCGCAGCGAUGCGUUGAGCUAACCGGUACUAAUGAACCGUGAGGCUUAACCUUACAACGCCGAAGCUGUUUUG
rnacentral:rRNA from 1 species